CAUCACCUGGCUGAGCUGCAGCAGGAACACUAGGAGAAAGAAACAGAACCAAAGAGGCUACUAUUUACAAUUUUCAGAAGAUCCUUUUGCAGGACAAACCAAGCACAGGGCUCAAUGGAGUGAAUACAGAUGAUCCUUCCUCACUUCAUAGGCACACAGUGAGGGCUAAGUGAUGUCUACUAGCAACUUGAACAAGUG